GCAGCCCUCAGGCCAAAAAGUUCGCCUGUUCCUGUGAUAAGCUAAGCUAUCUUAGAAGCACAAGCACAUUUUCUGUGCAAGAAUAGCUUCCCAGAAAGAAGGCAUGUAUGUCUCCUUCCCGUACGGCUGCGUGUUUAAACAAUAAAUUUGGGUAAGUUUGGUUAUUUGGUAUCUUGAACAUUUAAGAACAAAUCAUGAGUAUAAUCAAACAAUUGUCUACUUUCUGUCAAUAGGUGGGAUUCUGAAAUUCUCCCAUUCUUGAGACUAGGUCCUGGGCUACAGUAUCCUGUGGAUCAAUUGUACUUAACAGGUCCAAGUGAGUUCAGGGAGAAUUGAUUGUGAAUCUGAAGGCAGAAAGCAAUUUGGGUGAAAGUGAUCAUGAAAUGCUGAUUUCAUCAUUCUAAAGAAAGAAAGGAGCAAAAGCAGCAGAAUAAGGACAUAAAAAGGGCUGCAAAGCGCUGGGCCCAGGCCAGGAGCAGAGCCCUGGGAUGGCUGCCAGUACCCCAUGCUGACAGGAGGGCUGAGCAGGCCCGGAUGGCUGGAACCCCAGACCAGCAGCGAGAAGCUGGUCCAAUAGAAGAUAUUACCUUGCCCACCUCGUCUCUUCAAUACCAUAGGAGCCACACAGCUACAACAACACUGCAUAUUAUCUAAGCUCUUCCAUCACGUGAGAAGGGCACAGGAACGCCGAGCUGUUUAAAAACCCUGCAGGUAUCUGUGGGUGCCAACAGGUUUCCCCUGAAGAGAUCCCUGACAACUGCCUACCCCAAAGAACGAUCAUGUCCUUUUAAAUCUAGCCAGCGUUUUUGUUCGCCGCCGCCUCCCAAACUCGGGCUUCCUGCCCAAACCUGUCCCGUGACCUCCAUAGGCAGGGCCAGAGCAUCAAACCGAGAGGCGUUUGCAUCGUCUCCCAAGUCCCCCUCCCGGAAACACUUGAGUUGAGCUGAGGCGUCCUUCAUUACCUCGCCCACCUGACUGUUUCCAAACAGCCCCGAUGGCACCGCCCCCAACAGCCAUGCGGUGACCAUCCCCGCGGCCAGACCGGCACA